rnacentral:rRNA from 1 species
UACGUAGGUGGCAAGCGUUGUCCGGAUUUACUGGGCGUAAAGAGCGCGCAGGCGGUCGUUCAAGUCGCGUGUGAAAGCCCCCGGCUCAACUGGGGAGGGUCACGCGAUACUGAUCGACUCGAAGGCAGGAGAGGGUAGUGGAAUUCCCGGUGUAGUGGUGAAAUGCGUAGAUAUCGGGAGAAACACCAGUGGCGAAGGCGGCAUCCUGGACCGGUAUUGACGCUGAGGCGCGAAAGCUAGGGUAGCAAACGGG